AUUGAACGCUGGCGGCAGGCCUAAUACAUGCAAGUCGAACGAAGUGGCGCACGGGUGAGUAAUAUAUAGUUAAUCUGCCCUACACAGAGGAACAACAGAUGGAAACGACUGCUAAUACCUCAUAGUGUAUGAUGAGAGUAUAUCGUAUCAGCUAGUUGGUAAGGUAAUGACUUAUCAAGGCUAUGACGCGUAACUGGUCUGAGAGGAUGAUCAGUCACAUUGGAAAGGGGACAUGGGACAAACUCCUACGGUAGGCAGCAGUAAGGAAUAUUGAGCCAUGGGGGAAACCCUGACGCAGCAACGAAGCUUGGAGGAUCAAACGUCUCGGAGAGUAAACUCCUUUGAUAAGGAAAGCGGUAACUGGUGAAUAAGCACCGGGCAAAUCCGUGGCAGGCGCCGCAGUAAUUC
rnacentral:rRNA from 1 species